CCUUGUCCGCUGGUUGGCAUGGCCUUUGGUGCAGCCGCGGCGGCUCCUGUUCCUGCCUAGCUCUGUCCCCUCUUUCCCUCCCCACCAGAUCCUGGAGUUCGGCCACCAUGGCUUUACUCACUGAGGCUGCCCGGCUCUUGGGAGCUAAGAAUGCAUCCUGUGUUGUUUUUGCUGCCCGGCAUGCCAGUGCUUCCUCCACGAAUUUGAAAGACAUAUUGGCUGAUCUGAUACCUAAAGAGCAGGCCAGAAUUAAGACCUUCAGGCAGCAACAUGGCAAGACAAUGGUGGGCCAAAUCACUGUGGACAUGAUGUAUGGUGGCAUGAGAGGCAUGAAGGGAUUGGUAUAUGAAACAUCAGUUCUUGAUCCUGAUGAGGGCAUCUCUUUCCGAGGAAUUAGUAUCCCUGAAUGCCAGAAAGUGCUGCCCAAGGUUAAGGGAGGGGAAGAACCCCUCCCAUAGGGCUUAUUUUGGCUGCUGGUAACUGGACAGACCCCAACAGAGGAACAGGUAUCUUGGCUGUCAAAAGAGUGGGCAAAGAGGACAGCUCUGCCUUCCCAUGUGGUCACCAUGCUGGACAACUUUCCCACCAAUCUACACCCCAUGUUUCAGCUCAGUGCAGCCAUUACAGCCCUCAACAGUGAAAGUAAAUUUGGGCAUAUGCAGAGGGUAUCAACCAAACCAAAUACUGGGAGUUGAUUUAUGAAGACUGUAUGGAUCUGAUCGCAAAGCUACCUUGUGUUGCAGCAAAAAUCUACCGGAAUCUCUACUGGGAAGGCACCAGUAUUGGGGCCAUUGACUCUAAGCUGGACUGGUCCCACAAUUUCACCAACAUGUUAGGCUAUACGGAUGCACAGUUCACUGAGCUCAUGCGCCUGUACCUCACUAUCGACAGUGACCAUGAGGGUGGCAAUGUAAGUACCCAUACCAGCCACUUGGUGGGCAGUGCCCUUUCAGACCCUUACCUGUCCUUUGCAGCAGCCAUGAAUGGGUUGGCAGGGCCUCUACAUGGACUAGCAAAUCAGGAAGUGCUUGAUUGGCUAGCACAACUACAGAAGGAAGUUAGCAAAGAAGUAUCAGAUGAGAAGUUACAAGACUACAUCUGGAACACACUCAACUCAGGACGGGUUGUUCCAGGCUAUGGUCAUGCAGUACUAAGGAAGACUGAUCCACGAUACACCUGUCAGCGAGAGUUUGCUCUGAGAACAUCUGGCUACUGACCCAUGUUUAAGCUGGGUUGCUUCAACACCUAUUACAAGAUUGUGGGCCCCAAUAUCCUCUUGCGAACAG